rnacentral:rRNA from 1 species
UACGAAGGGGGCUAGCGUUGUUCGGAAUUACUGGGCGUAAAGCGCGCGUAGGCGGUUUUGCAAGCCAGAGGUGAAAUGCCUGAGCUCAACUUAGGAAUUGCCUUUGGGACUGCGAGGCUUUGAGGACUGGAGAGGUGAGUGGAAUUCCCAGUGUAGAGGUGAAAUUCGUAGAUAUUGGGAAGAACACCGGUGGCGAAGGCGGCUCACUGGCCAGUUUCUGACGCUGCAGCGCGAAAGCGUGGG